rnacentral:misc_RNA from 1 species
AAGUCGUAACAAGGUUUCCGUAGGUGAACCUGCGGAAGGAUCAUUACAAAUCCCCGGGAUACAUCCAUCUCGAUCCGUCCCAAUGUUCGCGGUGUGAGCGGGUGAGAGGGGGAUUAGGGUGUGCCAGUCACACCCUGUCCCUCGCCUCUCCUCUCAUGCACGUAUCCCCCCCCCCUUGAGACUCUUAUCAGUUGCUUCACGUGUACCGCUUGUGUGAGGAAAGGAGGGGAAAGAUAAGAGAGACGAAGAGAAGAGCGGGAGGAGGGAACGAUCGCGGGACAUUCGUGUCGACGCAUCGUUCACUCCACCCCUCUCUCUCUCUCACUCUCUCUCUCUCUCAUCCCUUCUCUCUUCACAUGACGCGAAACCAUUACAACAAAAAACAACUUAUAACAAUGGAUCUCUAGGCUCUU